UGACAUGCCUUCAGUUUUUUUUUUUAUUCAGAUCAACUUCUAGCCAGCAAGGCCCUUUACGAUCGCUAUCAACAUGCGUUUGCUGAAGGUCUUCCUUCUGUUUGGUUUUCUCUUGUGUUUGAUGGAACCGUGCCUGGUGGAAGCAAUACAUGGCGUCUUUGGUGAAGGAUUACGCCGUGAUAUCAGGUUU